rnacentral:rRNA from 1 species
UACGAGGGGGGCAAGCGUUGUUCGGAAUUAUUGGGCGUAAAGGGCGCGUAGGCGGUGCGGUAAGUCUGAUGUGAAAUCUCCGGGCUCAACUCGGAGUCUGCAUCAGAAACUGCCGUGCUUGAGUGUGGGAGAGGUGAGUGGAAUUCCCGGUGUAGCGGUGAAAUGCGCAGAUAUCAGGAAGAACACCCGUGGCUAAGGCGGUUCUCUAGUACGGUACUGACGCUGAGACGCGAAAGCGUGGGGAGCGAACAGG